rnacentral:rRNA from 1 species
AUGCUUUCACCAGCAACGUUGAAUCAUAUUCAUGCAAGAAUCUCCCUCUGGAGGCCAUGUGAAGCACCUUGGCGUCUUCCCUGCAAACUCCAUCCACCCCUUCCCCAAAACUCGCUGGCGAACACAUGCAUCACAUUUCAUGAAAAAGGAGGAAAAGAUGAAAGGAGAGAGAGCAAUGGAGGCCCCGGCCCGUCCUCCUCGGGCCCGUGCGGCGCAUCGGAAUCAAUCGUCUUUUCCGGGAAUUCAGACGGCCGCGGUGCUCUCCUGCCUCUGCCACCGCCGCUCCGCUCGGGGCAGACGAACUGCGCGGUGUAA